GACGAACGCUGACGGCGUGCUUAACACAUGCAAGUCGAACGGAAAGGCCCUGCUUUUGUGGGGUGCUCGAGUGGCGAACGGGUGAGUAACACGUGAGUAACCUGCCCUUGACUUUGGGAUAACUUCAGGAAACUGGGGCUAAUACCGGAUAGGAGCUCCUGCUGCAUGGUGGGGGUUGGAAAGUUUCGGCGGUUGGGGAUGGACUCGCGGCUUAUCAGCUUGUUGGUGGGGUAGUGGCUUACCAAGGCUUUGACGGGUAGCCGGCCUGAGAGGGUGACCGGCCACAUUGGGACUGAGAUACGGCCCAGACUCCUACGGGAGGCAGCAGUGGGGAAUAUUGCACAAUGGACGGAAGCCUGAUGCAGCAACGCCGCGUGCGGGAUGACGGCCUUCGGGUUGUAAACCGCUUUCGCCUGUGACGAAGCGUGAGUGACGGUAAUGGGUAAAGAAGCACCGGCUAACUACGUG
rnacentral:rRNA from 1 species